GGGUGUUCCGCUCGAUUGUGGGUGGGCAGGUUAAGCGCAGGUCGGGCCGCCAGCG
rnacentral:ncRNA from 2 species